AGGAUGAACGCUGGCGGCGUGCUUAACACAUGCAAGUCGAACGAUGAAGGCUGGAGCUUGCUCUGGCUGGAUUAGUGGCGAACGGGUGAGUAACACGUGAGUAACCUGCCCCAGACUCUGGGAUAAGCGCUGGAAACGGCGUCUAAUACCGGAUACGAGCUUCCACCGCAUGGUGAGGAGCUGGAAAGAAUUUCGGUCUGGGAUGGACUCGCGGCCUAUCAGCUUGUUGGUGAGGUAAUGGCUCACCAAGGCGACGACGGGUAGCCGGCCUGAGAGGGUGACCGGCCACACUGGGACUGAGACACGGCCCAGACUCCGUACGGGAGCAGCAGUGGGGAAUAUUGGACAAGUGGG
rnacentral:rRNA from 1 species